GAUGAAUAACGUAGCGAAAUGCGAUAAGUAAUGUGAAUUGCAGAAUUCAGUGAAUCAUCGAAUCUUUGAACGCACAUUGCGCCCCCUGGUAUUCCGGGGGGCAUGCCUGUUCGAGCGUCAUUUCACCACUCAAGCCUCGCUUGGUAUUGGGCAACGCGGUCCGCCGCGUGCCUCAAAUCGACCGGCUGGGUCUUCUGUCCCCUAAGCGUUGUGGAAACUAUUCGCUAAAGGGUGUUCGGGAGGCUACGCCGUAAAACAACCCCAUUUCUAAGGUUGACCUCGGAUCAGGUAGGGAUACCCGCUGAACUUAAGCAUAUCAAUAAGCGGAGGA
rnacentral:misc_RNA from 1 species